rnacentral:lncRNA from 10 species
GCCCGCCCCGCCGUGUCCGCGACGGGACUGGGUCCGCGGCAUCACAGGGAAGGCGUUUCCCCGGGUGUCUUAGGACGCUCUUGGGGCGGCGGGGACGCGCGGGAUGGGCGCGGAGGCGGGGGUCGGGGCGCCUGCGGGGAGCUGACCCUGACUCCCCUCUCCGGCCGCGCUCCCGGGUCCACCCCCCACGGCGCCGAGGCCCGGGUUCAGACCCGGGUUCAGGCCCCGGAGCCGCCGCCGCAGCGCAGCAGACAAAGAAACUGAGGCCCAAAGAAAUGAAGUAACUUAUGGGAGGUCCUGGAGCGGGCAAGCGGCAGAGCCAGGGUCAGAGCCCGAGCAGGCGCUUGUGUGGAUUGAACUCGUGCAAGUUGCGUACAGGCUGCCCACCGAGUGGGAGAUCUUGGGAGAGGGCAGGGGGUGAGGUUCAAGGGUAACCCUUGCCUUUAUUCAGCUUCUCCUCGUGCUGGACAGCAUGGCUUCCCCUCCUUCCCAGGCCCUCCUGCUCCACCACCCCAAAUCGCAGCUGGUACUGUCAGGACUGAGGUCUCAUUCUACGGACAGGGAAACUGAGGCUCGGCCCCUUUUACCAGAACUGGUCUCAGGGAAGUGGUGCCCCUCCCCUCCUGUGAGGGCCGACUCCCCCCAACCACCCCCCCCCCCCCCCCCCCGCUUCCCUGGGUACUCUGGCCCAUCCUGUCCCUGCUGCCCUCAGAGCCUCCCUGGCCCGGUCUGAACAGGGUGAUUCCACACCUGCUUCAGAUGACCUUGGUUCGGACUGAUGGGAUCACCUGUAGGAGGUGGGGACUUUCACAGGACAUCCCGGAUUGUUUUUUCUUUCUUUCUUUUUUUUUUUUUUGCUCUGUUGCCCAGGCUGGAGUGCAGUGGCACGAUCUUGGCUCACUGUAAUUUCUGCUUCCUAAAUUCAAAUGAUUCUCCUGUCUCAGCCUCCUGAGUAGAUGGGAUUUCAAGCGUGCACAACCGUGCCCAGCUAAUUUUUGUAUUUUUAGUAGAGACGGGGUUUCACCAUGUUGGCCAGGCUGGUCUUGAACUCCUGACUUCAGGUGAUCAGCCCGCCUUGGCCUCCCAAAGUGCUGGGAUUACAGGCGUGAGCCACCGCACCUGGCCUCAUCCGGGAUUUUGACCAAGUGCAUCAGGACAACCUGGUUUCCAGAGCAGAGACCCAGCCAAAGCGGCUGUAGUCAAGGAAAGGAAGCGUAUGGGUAUGGGCUCAGGAAACGGUGGCGUCCUAGCGUGUGCCAAAGUCAGGCAGGGCUGGACCAAGUCUCACAGCAACAGCGUCAGAACGCGGUUUCUCUCAGUCCAUCUCUGUGUGGGGCAAAGACGGCCCAGGGCAGCUCCUGUGCAUCCUUCCCCCUCAGCAGGCCCAGCCAGAGACAGACUCUUUCUCAACCAAUGGUCCCAAGGCCACCUCUCUCUGGAUUCUGGGUCAGGACCUGAUCGUGGGGCCAGGGGCAGGGAAGUGAGCUGAAGCCCUGGGCUGGAAGGGAUUCUCUACAGGAAAUCAGAGGUGCUGAAGUCAGAGGAAGGGAGGGUGGAUGGCAGGCAAAGCUGGGUCGAGGACUCAGAAGAGGGAACGCGGCCAGUGCCCCCACUGCAUCAUGGGGCUCAUACACAUCUGAGACUUGGAACAGGACGCUGUUGAGGGGCUGUAGCUCGGUGCUGGCAAGGGGCUUCACCGCGGGGCUUGCUGGCAUUGAAGGGAGAUGGCUUGUUUAUGGAGCUUGGGCGACAGUGGCUUGGGAUGUACAAAUGUGAGAAGGGCCUUACAGGCAGGCCACUGUUCUCCCCAGAAAGGCCUGGUGGCGGCUGGUGAACUGGAGAUGCUUGGUUAGACAUCGGGAAUUUGACCUUCCUCAAAGCAGCUGCCUGGCACCAUGGCUGCUGUGUUCCCUUCAAGCCUGCCACCCCAUUCGGACAUCUGAAAGCCGCUGAGAUCCAAGCCCCGCAAGAAAUCGCUCUUCUCCCAUCAGCUUUGCAACGCUGAAAAAUCAUGACGGCACGGUGGCUCACACCUGUAAUCCCAGCACUUUGGGAGGCUGAAUUGCAGGCGGAUCGCUUGAGCUCAGGAGUUUGAGACCAGACUGACGAAUAUGGCGAAACCCAUGUUUCUACUAAAAAUAUAAAAAUAGCUGUGCAUGGUGGUGUGUGCCUGUGGUCCCAGCUACUUGGGAGGCUGAAGUGGAAGGAUCACUUAAGCACAGGAAUUCCGGCGAGACAGAGCGAGACCCUGCCACGAAAAAGAAAGAAAGAAAGAGAGAGAGAGAAAGAAAGAAAGAGAGAGAGAGAAAGAAAGAGAGAGAGAGAAAAAAAAGAGAAAGAGAAAGAGAAAGAGGGGAGGGAGGAAGGAAGGAAGGAAAAAGAAAAACCACGUAUUAUCAUCUGUGGAGGAGGGUGUGGGGAGUGGGCACUCAGGCUCCUGGUACAGCCCCUCGGGAGGGCCACCAGGUAGCAGCUAUUACGAUUCAAGAAGCACAUGUUCUGCGGCCAGAAUUCUUGGCGUCUGCUGUAGAGGAACGCUCCGGUCUUUGCACGGGAAGGCUAAUGCAAGCAUGGUGUUGCAGCGGGAUUUGUAAUAGGAAAGAAUUCAGAAACUGCCCACGCGCCCACCCAUGGCCGACUGGCUGAUCCAGGGCCAUGUGUCCUGCUGGCUGUGGCCAAGGGCAUGGGUAGGGGCUGGAGUCCCACCUGCACCCUGUUUAUGGAUCCAUGGCCUCACCGUGGGGCCACAGCACAUGAGGAAUCAGGCACCUUUCCAAGACCCACAAAGCUGCUGUGUAAGCUGGUGGCUGCCCUGGGCUGACAACACUGGGCUAUGACCCAAAGACAGAAGCCAGGAAGAAGGGAUUCGAUCCAAGAGUAUCCGCAGGGCCACUCAGACAUAUUGCUGGAUUUUUUUCUUUUUUAAGACGGAGUUUUGCUCUGUCACCCAGGCUGGAGUGCAGUGGUGCGAUCUCGGCUCACUACAAUCUCUGCCUCCCAGAUUCAAGCCAUUCUCCUGCCUCAGCCUCCCGAGUAGCUGGGAUUACAGGCACCUGCCCCCACGCCCAGCUACUUUUUAUAUUUUUAGUAGAGACAGGGUUUCACCACGUUGGCCAGGCUGGUCUCAAAUGCCACACCUGACUUCAGGUGAUCCACUCAACUCGGCCUCCCAAAGUGCUGGGAUUACAGGUGUGAGUCACUGUGCCCGGCCUCAGACAUACUGUUGAGCAAAUUAAACAAUUUAUGAGAAGCAAGAAAAGCAGAAAGCAGAAAAGACCCACAAUAACUGUAUCUUGUAUUUAUGUUUGCCACGUGCACAUCCACACGUUGCAUCACAUCUUCUGAGCCCCCUGAUCCAGCCUUGCCUGCUAUCCAUCUCCCUUACCCUGCAAUUUCCUUUAGAAAAGCCACCUUUGUCCCUGUCAGCCCAGGGUUUAGUGAUGCUGCCCCAUGCCUGGAGCAUUAAACCUGGGCUGGGCCCAUCAGCUCAUUUCCAGCCCCUGGCUGGAGACUCAGGUAGCGUUGUCUGUGGACCAUGAAGAUGGGCAAAUGACAGGCGGGCACUAUUGUCGGAGCUCUGUGGGACACACGCUUGGGGCUCCUAGCUGUGACAUGAAGGUUGUAGGAAAGCCAGAGGUGCCCAGCCCUGGUCUGUAGCCAUCCGGGUGCAGACACUCUGACGGGCAGCUCCCAGGUGGCCCUGCCCACGGUUGCUCCUGUGGGGACCCAGGACCCUCGUGUCAGGCAGUGAGGAGGGGGUGCUGUGCCCCUGGUUGUAUCGCUCAGGGUGAAUUCCAUUCAAGGCUCUUUGGGUGUAAGUGACAGGAAGCCCAGUGCAGAGAGGCCUGAGCACAAAACACUGUGUUUGGCUUAUGUCACCCAUUUCAGAGAUGGGCCCUCCCUGGACCCUAUGCCAGCCCCAGCCUGGUUGGUCUUCUCCUCAGCCCAGCGUCUUCGAAGUCCUGGUUCCAAGUCCUCAUGCACUGGUACCUGGCUUCCCUGCUGCCACGAACACCACCAAUGGAGGUCCUCAGCCCCUCGUUGUUGACUUUUAAAUGUUAAUUAAUUAAUUAAUUAAUUAUUUUUGAGAUGGAGUCUCACUCUGUCGCCCAGGCUGGAGUGCAGUGGUGCAAUCUCAGCUCACUGCAGUCUCCGCCUCCUUGGUUCAAGCGAUUCUCCUGCCUCAGCCUCCCGAGUAGCUGGGAUUACAGGAAUGCGCCACCACGCCCAGCUAAUUUUGUAUUUUUAGUAGAGACGGAGUUUCUCCACGUUGGUCAGGCUGGUCUCGAACUCCUGACCUCAGGUGAUCCACCCGCCUUGGCCUCCCAAAGUGUUGGGAUUACAGGCGUGAGCCACUGCGCCCCGCCCCACGUAUCUUUUUAAAAGAUAAAUGUUAUCGUGUGCAUUUACGGUGUACGUUGUGGUGGUGUAGGGUACGUAUACGUAGUAAAUUGGUGGCCACAGCAGAACGGGUGAGUUUUGCAUCAUCUCCCAGGCACCUGUCUUCCUCCCACAGCCAGCGCAACCAUGACCCAUGCAUUAGCAGACGCCUGGAGCAUAAUUAUUCUCUGCAGCCCUCAGGUGCACACGAGCCCUUUUGAAGGGGCUCACCCUGUCGCCCACUGUUUUAUUCUCUGUCUUUAUAUAUUUGAUCCCCACCUUUUUAUUUAUUUAUUUUUGUGAGACAGGUUCUUGCUCUCUUGCCCAGGCUGGAGUGCAGUGGUAUGAUCACGGCUCACUGCAGCCUCAACCUCCUGGGCUCAAGCAAUCCUCCCGCCUUAGCUUCCCAGGUAGCUGGGACCACAGGUGCACACCACCACACUUAACUAAUUUUAAAAACAUUUUUGUAGAGAUGGGGUUUUGCUAUGUUACCCAGGCUGGUCUCAAAACUCCUGAGCUCAAGUGAUCCUCCCACCUUGACCUCCCAAAAUGCUGAGAUUACAGGUGUGAGCCACCGCACCCAAUACCCCCGCCUGCCUUUAUUUAUUUAUUUUAAAGAUUCUGGAUAUUAGUGAGAUCCUGUGAUGUUUCUUUCUGUGUCUGGCUUGUCUUGCUGGCAUCGUGACCCCUAGUCCAUCCAUGUGGCAAAUGCAGGAUCUCCUCUGUUUUUAAGGCUGAACAAUAGUCCAUCACCUCUCUCCACGUGAUCAUAUACACCACAGUCUCCUUAUCUGUCCGGCCACUGAUGAAUGCCCAGUCUCUUGCUGUCAUCUCGACGCGCUGGGCCAGCAUGAUCCUGCGAGGAGUUGUACUUCAAAAUUUAACAAGGAACAAACGCAAAGCUUCAAAAGGGGAAAUACAAGCUUUCCCAGAGGAGUUUCUCCAGGUGCAGCGUGUGGUGGCAGCAACAGCACAGGCAUUUCCUUACUUAACCAGAAGAGACUAAGGGAUCUCCUGGGUCAGGUUCUGUGGAGUUCCAGCAGAAGCCGCGGAUCGUGGAAGUUCAGCGACACCACCGUCCUGCCCCGUGGGAGAGGUGGGCAUUGAGAUGGGUUUGACAAACGCUCUUUCGAAUCCAGAAAAGUCAAGUAGAGAAGGAAAGUAAGGGGCCACUUACUGUGCCUCGAAUCACAAGACCGCGGUGGACCAGCCUGGUUAAGACCUGUGGAUGUCUUCAGCAAGAAACUUGGAGAGGCCCCUAAAGAUAUCGCCAGAGAGAAAACAAAGAAAGCUUCAGUCGCUCCUUCCUAAGCUGUCACGACUACUCUUUUAAAUGGCCCCAUGCUUGGAUUUCUGUCACCACGACUGGGGGAGCCUGGGCGAGUGUGCUUUCCCUCACUGCACCUCCCAUGGGAGCCCAGGCUGCUGCGCCGUCCUCAGACUGUUGGGAUGAUGAGCGGACGGUGAACUCCCACCACCUGCGCCUGUGAAGGGAGCUCCGGUUGAGGGGCUUUGCUGGCUUCGGGUCGGGGGCUGCCGUAGUUCUGUGUUGGGGAGAUGGUGUGGACUGCGGCAGAGCCAAGCCUGAGCCCCACGCCAGGAUGAGUGGAGUGCCCGGAAAGCAUUCUGAUUUCCGGCCUGGCGUGUCUUCCUUCCAUUACACUGAAAGUUUUACCCAACAGCUCGUUUAAGUUUUUUUUCUUUUUGAGGUGGGGUCUCGCUCUGUCGCCCAGGUGAUCCUCCUACCUCAGCCUCCCAAGGAGCUGGGACUACAGACACACACCACCACAUCCUGCUCUUUUUUUUUUUUUUUUAAUUUUAUAGAGAUGGAGUUUUGCCAUGUUGUCCAGGCUGGUCUCAAACUCCUGAGUUCAAGCUAUCCACCUACCUCAGCCUCACAAAAUGCUAGGAUUACUGGUGUGAGCCAUCAUGCCUGGCCAAGUUUUGUUUUGUUUUGUUUCUUUAAAUUUUAAAUUUAAUUUGAUUUUUAGAGUUGGGAUCUUGCUCUGUGGCCCAGGCUGGUCUCGAAUUCUUAGCUUUGAGCCAUCCUCCCACCUGGGCCUUCCUAAGCAGUGGAAUUACAGUUGUGAGCCACUGUGCCUGACCUCACUGAGGUUUUUAUCACAGAAUGAUAACAAAAGCGCCAUGCCCACAGUUUUGUAGGUAGUGAGUGCUGUUGCUAGGACAUGCUCCUGGUUAGUUUGGCUUCAGAUACUGUAUUUUUCCAUGUUUCUACAGUGAGCCUGGCCUUGUGUGACUUCUGUGAAAUAUCCACUUCUCCACCCUCUUUGUUCUCUGCCAGUUGUAAUUUCUUGAGUCAUUUCGUUUUUGUUGCAGGAAAUCAGGUUUAAGGGACUUGCCUGUGAGUGAGUGUGACGGCUGGAGCCUCUCAACAGUGCAGACUGCUGUAAAUGAAGACUGUGGAAUGGCGAAUCUCAUUGUUCAUCUGGGGCCAUCAGACUGAUCAGCUGUACAUAGUCUAUAGGAUAUUCACAUUAAUACAUUUACAUAGAUAUAACUUUAAAGAAGAUUUACUAUAACAGCUAAAAUUAUGACUAAUGAUAUUAGAUUUUAAGUUUUAUACAAUUUUUAAACAUUAUUUAUUUAUUUAUUUUUUUGAGAUGGAGUCUCGCUCUGUCGCUCAGUCUGGAAUGCAGUGGCGCAAUCUCGGCUCACUGCAACCUCCGCCUCCUGGGUUAAAGUGAUUCUCCUGCCUCAGCCUCCUGAAUAGCUGGGAUUACAGGUGUGCACCACCACGCCUGGCUGAUUUUUGUAUUUCUAGUAGAGAUGGGGUUUCACCAUGUUGGCCAGGCUGGUCUUGAACUCCUGACCUCAGGUGAUCCACCCACUUCAGCCUCCCAAAAUGCUGGAAUUACAGGUGUAAGCCACCAUGCCCAGCCAUGAAACAUUUGUAUUAAUAACAUAAAUGUAACUGAAAGAAUGCCUAAUAUAAUUUAUUAUUUGAUAAUGUCUCUCACAUAAUUUACUAAAUAAGCCUAAUAAUUUAAUGCCUCUACAAAAUGAGAGAUAAGUUUUUAAGGUUCUCCUGGGGCCCAGCUAGAAAAUUCCAAAGUUAAGCCUAGGUCAGAAAAACUUAAUUUAGAAUUUUGUUCUUGGAGAAGCUGCUAAAGAUGUCAAAAGGUUUAAAACAAUUGAACGAAACGUGAUCAUAGGUCACUCUGAAAUAACAGUCGUUUAUUUCACUGAAGUGAUAAUCAAAAGACUUUGAAAGCAAGACAGAGAUAGUUACACAGCACUGGCUGGGGCAGCACAGACACUAAAAUUGGAGUGACACAGAGGAGUCAGCAGGGCCCUUGCGCAAGGAUGACAUACAAAUUCGUGAAGACUUCCAUAUUUUUUAAAAUAAUAUAAUUAUAAAUAUUAAAAAAUCGUUUGUUGGCCAAGUGCGGUGGCUCACUCCUGUAAUCCCAGCACUUUGGGAGGCCAAGGGGGGUGGAUCACCUGAGGUCAGGAGUUUGAGACCAGCCUGGGCAACAUGGCAAAACCCCAUCUUUACCAAAAAAUACAAAAAUUAGCCGGGUGUGGUGGGGGGGCGCCUGUAAUCCCAGCUACUUGGGAGGCUGAGGCAGGAGAGUUGCUUGAACCCAGGAGGCAGAGGUUGCAGUGAGCAGAGAUUGUGCCACUCCACUCCAGCUGGGGCAACAGAGCAAGAUUCUGUCUCAAAAAAAAAAAAAAAAUCACCAUUUCAGGGUGUACACUUCCCUGCAUUUAGGACAUUUACAAGGUUGUGCAGAUGCCACCUUGUGACUGUCCUAAACUCCACCACACUCCAGCCUGGGCAAUAGAGCCAGACCUUGUCUCAAAGAAAAAAAAAAAGAGUUUUUUUAAAAAGGUUACGUGGAUGUAACCUUUUAUUUAUUUUUGUUCAUUUUUUUCCAGACAGGGUCUCAAUAUGUUGUUGCUCAGGCUAGAAUGCAGUGCUGCAGUCUCAGCUCACUGCAACCUCCACCUCUUGGGCUCAAGUGAUCCAACCACCUCAGCCUCCCAAGUAGCUGUGCACCACCGCACCUGGCUAAUUUUUUGUUUAUUUUUUGUAGAGAUGGAGUCUCACUAUGUUGCCCAGGCUGGUCUCAAACUCCCAGGUUCAAGCAAUCCUCCUGCCUCAGCCUCCCAAAGUGCUGGGUUUACAAGUGUGAGUUGCCACACCCACUCGUCUUUCUUACAACAAUUACAAAAAAUAUUGGCUGGAAUGCCAAAGCUGUGAGUUUUAUCUCAACCCCAUUAGAAAAGUCAGCAGAUUCAAAGUAAGCAGAAAAAAAAAAAAUAGAGAACUUAGAAGGCUCUCCACAUUAGCCCUAUAGUUGAAGGCUUGUUUUUUGAAGAGACUGUUUGAAUAAUGAUAAUUUGAGCUCUUAAUUUUUCUUGAUGUAAUUUGUCCACCAGUUAAAAAAAUAUGCAUGAGAAUGGGCUAUAAUAUGUAGGUGUCGGGAGUCCCAGAAAACUUGGCAUGUCUUCAUAUUUAAGAAUCCCAUUCCGUUUCUUAUUAAUAUCUUUAGAGCAAAGAAAAUUCUGUAAAUCCUGUCAGAGAAUGUUUGGAGUUUGACCAAUGUUUUAGAUGGUGGUGACUGGCCCAGCAGCUUUAAAAAAGUUUUUUCUUUGUAUCUUCUAGUAUGUAUUUUUUCCAGUUAUGAAUUCAACGUGGAACCCAGUUGUUUUUAAUUAGCCACCCUGUGCCCACCAUUUAGAAUGUUUAUUUUUGUUCUUGGAAGAUUUUUAGAAACAAAGAAGGGAAAAUGGCCAAAUCAUGCAUUUAACCAAACUAUAAUCAGGAUUUGCAAAAAAUUUUGACCCAGGCAUGUAGAUCAAAUGAAAUAUUCAGCUAGGAGCAGUGACCAAAAGUGAAUUUACCAGAGAAGACCUCGCACCUCGCACCUGGCACCUCGCAUCUCGCAGAUGGAAUCUGAGUUCUCUAGAAACCAAAAAGACACUUGUCUUUCUUUUUUGAUCCUAGGAGGAAUGUAAGGGCGUUUAUUAAGGCAAUCUUAUAACCAAACCAAAUCUGGAAUACAGUGGAGAGCUUCUACCUAAAAAGAGGGAGGCCUGGCCUGAGAGAAGAUUCAGCAGGGCAGAAAAGGCAAGAGGCAGAAGUGAAGAGCUCAGGAUACUGCUUGGGGAAAGGACGUGCUCGGGACCCAUCUGUCAGCUGAAUGGAGGCCGGGUGGUGCCCGGCUGGCACCCAGAGGGCACUUCAUCCGCAUGCAUGCUGAGCCCCUACGGGGUGCCAGGCUCUCUGCUGUCCUGGAAGCUGGGGCCAAUCUCCGAAGAGAACAGAGCUGCCACCCUCCAGAAGCUGGUUAGUAGGGGCAUCAGCUGGCCUUGUUUCCACGGUCGUCUCGCAACCCACGGCAGAAUCCGUCCAAGGGGAAGACAGAGGUGGCUCAGCUCUGCAGAGUUUGAGAUCUGAAUCAACGGAAAAUCGUCUAAAGUGCUUUCUCAAACUCUUUUUCAACAUUUCACUUUCAUGUUUCCCUAAGCUGCCCCCGCUGAAUAGCUAAUGAACUUGUAAUUAAAGCAACUUUUCACAUGGUGAAAAGCCGCAUUCCACCACCCGCUCGGGCUCUCAGUCCGGGGCUGGAACCCAGCCUGGCGCAGCAGGUGUGCAAUCCCUGACGCUGGUGUUUAUGGAGUGGGUAGAAUGGCUGGCCCUCCAGGACACCGCCCCUGUGCACCUUCUUGUGGGAACACCUUCUUGGGGGCUGACCUGGCCCCACGAGGUACACCAGGGUGCUGGCUGCUUUCAGCCAGGGGAAGAGCGGCCGUAUUGUGCUCAGUGAAAGCCCAAUUCCCUGCAAUUUGGAUUCUGAAAGGAGUUGAACAGCAUGGUACUGGUACCAAAACAGAGAUAUAGAUCAAUGGAACAGAACAGAGCCCUCAGAAAUAACGCCGCAUAUCUACAACUAUCUGAUCUUUG